AUACUUACCUGGCUGGGGAGAUACCAUGAUCACGAAGGUGGUUCUCCCAGGGCGAGGCUCACCCAUUGCACUUCGGGUGUACUAGUGGUAUAUGUUUUGUUCUUUCCCUCUUUUGGGAUAAAGGGGGGUGGACCCGUGGGUGGUUGCCUGGGGGUCUUCUGUUGCCUGUUUUUACCCCUU